rnacentral:tRNA from 1 species
GGCCCGCUAGCUCAAGUGGUAGAGCAGCUGACUCUUAAUCAGCGGGUUACAGGUUCGAGUCCUGUGCGGGUCA